rnacentral:rRNA from 1 species
CGAAAACUGCACAAUGUGGGAAACCACGAUGCGGGAAACCCAAGUGCCAGCACUAUGUGUUGGCUGUCCUCGACUGUUCGUAAGCCGGGAAGAAAGUGCUGGGUAAGACGGGUGCCAGCCGCCGCGGUAAUACCCGCAGCACAAGUGGUGGUCAUUAUUAUUGGGCCUAAAGCGUCCGUAGCUGGCCUGUUAGAUGCCUGGGUAAAUCGAUGCGCUCAACGUAUCGAACUCCGGGUAGACCGGCAGGCUCGAGACCGGGAGAGGUGUAGGCUACUCGCGGGGUAGGGGUAAAAUCCUGUAAUCCUGCGGGGAGGACCAGUGGCGAAGGCGCUACACUAGAACGGCUCUGACAGUGAGGGACGAAGCCCUGGGGCGCAAAC